rnacentral:rRNA from 1 species
AUGUUUGUGUCGGUACAACUAUGGAUGAACUUCUCCGUCACAAAUGCUGCUAAUAGAGACCUUCAGUACAUCCGUACCUUGUUGACACCAAAAAGGCGUGGUUUUGGACCAAUGCACACAAGGCUGAUCAUGGCUCCGGUUCAACUUGAGCAAACUUGGAAUGGGUAUGGUUUUGACAUGCGAGACAAGAUCCUACACGUCCUUGAUCCAGUGAACACCGAGGCUAAUGAAGCAGCGUAUGUCGCCAAGCAUGGGGCAACGAUUGAGCUCAUGUUUGAUGGUAUGGCUCAAGCUAGAGGAUUGUUCGGGAACGAGGGGUGUACACUGGAUCCAGCUCAGUGGCACGUUUGCUUCAACAGCAACAUGCACCGCCCGUGUUCAAAAUCGACAUCAGGGGCUUAUGUGCUGCACUACACAAAGCACUUCACUUGUGAUGGCUAG